GUCUCUGUAGCUUACAAUAAAGCAUGGCUCUGAAGAUGCCAAGACGGCCCACUCCCUACCCCAGAGACA
rnacentral:tRNA from 1 species